rnacentral:rRNA from 1 species
AGAGUCAAACAGUACGUGAAAUUGUUGAAAGGGAAACGUUUGAAAUCAGUCGUGCGGGCGAGUGAUCAGCUUGGCCUCGGCCUUGUGUACUUGCUCGUUCCGCAGGUCAGCGUCAGUUCCGGUCGCCGGAUAAAAUCCUGGGGGAAUGUGGCCGCCUCGGCGGUGUUAUAGACUCCGGACGAUACGGUGGCGGGGACUGAGGUCUGCAGCCGACGCUCGCGAGGGCGCUGGGGGUCCGCCGCUCUCGCCUGACCGGGUGCGCACAGCUCGCUGAGCGUGCUCGUUUUCUUUGGGCGGGACACGGUGGGGUUCCACCACAACUCAUCGGCUUGGGACGCUGGCUUAAUGGUUUUAAAUGACC